AUACAUCAUCAAUCUUUGACAACAAUUAAUAAACAAUGAUCCAUAAACAACUUCCUAAAUCAAACAUUAAUUCAUUAAAUCAAUUCUCUUCACUAGAAUCAACACUAACACAAAAGAAACAAGAAAACUAAGAAGAAGAAAUAGCACCAAGCUUAUCCUCGGCUCAGUACUAUCGCAGUCUAGCAUUUUCUUCCCCUCUCCCAUCCUCCUUAUACUACCUCAAGAUACCAACUCCUAUACUAUAGAUGAUAAUUAUUUUUUGUGACUAUUCAUCCAUUCUACCUGCUGA
rnacentral:lncRNA from 1 species